UACGGAGGGGGCAAGCGUUAUCCGGAUUCACUGGGUUUAAAGGGUGCGUAGGUGGGCAGGUAAGUCAGUGGUGAAAUCUCCGGGCUUAACCCGGAAACUGCCAUUGAUACUAUUUGUCUUGAAUACCGUGGAGGUCAGCGGAAUAUGUCAUGUAGCGGUGAAAUGCUUAGAUAUGACAUAGAACACCAAUUGCGAAGGCAGCUGGCUACACGAAUAUUGACACUGAUGCACGAAAGCGUGGGGAUCAAACAGG
rnacentral:rRNA from 1 species